rnacentral:rRNA from 1 species
UACGAAGGGGGCUAGCGUUGUUCGGAUUUACUGGGCGUAAAGCGCACGUAGGCGGUUUGUUAAGUCAGGGGUGAAAUCCUGGAGCUCAACUCCAGAACUGCCUUUGAUACUGGCAAUCUAGAGUCCGGAAGAGGUGAGUGGAACUCCUAGUGUAGAGGUGGAAUUCGUAGAUAUUAGGAAGAACACCAGUGGCGAAGGCGGCUCACUGGUCCGGUACUGACGCUGAGGUGCGAAAGCGUGGGGAGCAAACAGG